rnacentral:rRNA from 1 species
AGUGAACGCUGGCGGUAGGCCUAACACAUGCAAGUCGAACGGCAGCACAGUAAGAGCUUGCUCUUACGGGUGGCGAGUGGCGGACGGGUGAGGAAUACAUCGGAAUCUACUUUUUCGUGGGGGUUAACGUAGGGAAACUUACGCUAAUACCGCAUACGACCUACGGGUGAAAGCAGGGGAUCUUCGGACCUUGCGCGAUUGAAUGAGCCGAUGUCGGAUUAGCUAGUUGGCGGGGUAAAGGCCCACCAAGGCGACGAUCCGCAGCUGGUCUGAGAGGAUGAUCAGCCACACUAGAACUGAGACACGGUCCAGACUCCUACGGGAGGCAGCAGUGGGGAAUAUUGGACAAUGGGCGCAAGCCUGAUCCAGCCAUACCGCGUGGGUGAAGAAGACCUUCGGGUUGUAAUGCCCUUUUGUUGGGAAAGAAAAGCAGCAGGUUAAUACCCCGCUGUUCUGACGGUACCCAAAAAAUAAGCACCGGCUAACUUCGUG